CGUCUCGUGGAAGGUCUUCACCACGGCCUUGGCGUUGUUGGCUUCAUCGUCCACUAUGGCCUGUUGCAAGGCCUGGUCAUAGAACUGCUUCACGUCCUUGGCGAUCUGGGGAGGGAGUGGUCAGAGCGUGGUGUAGGGAAAGACUGUC